UGCAUCGGCCGGGAAUCGAACCCAGGCAGUCCGCGUGGCAGGCGAGCAUUCUACCACUGAACCACCGAUGG
rnacentral:tRNA from 1 species